rnacentral:rRNA from 1 species
CGAAGGGGGCUAGCGUUGUUCGGAAUUACUGGGCGUAAAGCGCGCGCAGGCGGUCCUUUAAGUCGGGGGUGAAAGCCCAGAGCUCAACUCUGGAACUGCCUUCGAAACUAGAGGACUUGGGUACGGGAGAGGUGAGUGGAAUUCCGAGUGUAGAGGUGAAAUUCGUAGAUAUUCGGAAGAACACCAGUGGCGAAGGCGGCUCACUGGCCCGUUACCGACGCUCAGGCGCGACAGCGUGGGGAGCAAACAGGAUUAGAUGCCCUGGUAGUCCACGCCGUAAACGAUGGAUGCUAGCCGUUGGUAAGCAUGCUUAUCAGUGGCGCAGCUAACGCAUUAAGCAUCCCGCCUGGGGAGUACGGCCGCAAGGUUG